rnacentral:rRNA from 1 species
CCGGAUUAAUACCGCAUACGACCUGAGGGUGAAAGCGGGGGACCGAAAGGCCUCGCGCUAUUGGAGCGGCCGAUGUCGGAUUAGCUAGUUGGUGGGGUAAAGGCCUACCAAGGCGACGAUCCGUAGCUGGUCUGAGAGGACGACCAGCCACACUGGGACUGACACACGG